AAUGAACGCUGGCGGUAGGCCUAACACAUGCAAGUCGAACGGCAGCACAGGAGAGCUUGCUCUCUGGGUGGCGAGUGGCGGACGGGUGAGGAAUACAUCGGAAUCUACUUUUUCGUGGGGGAUAACGUAGGGAAACUUACGCUAAUACCGCAUACGACCUACGGGUGAAAGCAGGGGAUCUUCGGACCUUGCGCGAUUGAAUGAGCCGAUGUCGGAUUAGCUAGUUGGCGGGGUAAAGGCCCACCAAGGCGACGAUCCGUAGCUGGUCUGGGAGGAUGAUCAGCAACACUGGAACGGAGACACGGUCCAGACUCCUACGGGAGGCAGCAGUGGGGAAUAUUGGACAAUGGGCGCAAGCCUGAUCCAGCCAUACCGCGUGGGUGAAGAAGGCCUUCGGGUUGUAAAGCCCUUUUGUUGGGAAAGAAAUCCAGCUGGCUAAUACCCGGUUGGGAUGACGGUACCCAAAGAAUGAGCACCGGCUAACUUCGUGCCAGCCGCCGCCGUAAAAC
rnacentral:rRNA from 1 species